rnacentral:rRNA from 1 species
GAUUAACGCUGGCGGCGUGCAUAACACAUGCAAGUCGAACGAUGAAACUUAGUAGACUUCUUCGGAAAGACACUAAGCGGAUUAGUGGCGAACGGGUGAGUAACGCGUGAGUAACCUGCCUUACACAAGGGGAUAGCCUUUGGAAACGAAGAAUGAUACCCUAUAAAACCAUAAAAGCACAUGCUAGAAUGGUCAAAGUGAUAGCGGUGUAAGAUGGACUUGCGUCUGAUUAGCUAGUUGGUGAGAUAAAAGCUCACCAAGGCAACGAUCAGUAGCCGGCUUGAGAGAGUGUACGGCCACAUUGGGACUGAGACACGGCCCAGACUCCUACGGGAGGCAGCAGUGGGGAAUUUUGCACAAUGGGGGAAACCCUGAUGCAGCGACGCCGCGUGAUUUAGAAGGCCUUCGGGUUGUAAAAAUCUUUUGUAUAGGAAGAAAAUGACAGUACUAUACGAAUAAGGUCCGGCUAAUUACGUG